AUAGACAUGGUCGACCAUAUGCCAUCUCAUUCAUUACUUAUGGGCCAUAUUUUAUCACCUAAAAAUCCAAGAGCUUGGAUGGUAGCAUGCACAUAAUCACCGACACCAAUCCUUCCAAGUUGGGGAAGCAGCCAGAAAAACAAAGAAGAAAGUGUUCAUGGGUAGCAUAGCAACAAGGUGGAGGCAACUGAGCGGCGAGAAGGAUUGGGAGGGUCUAUUGUACGCUCUGGACAUUGAUCUCCGUCGAUACAUGUACAUAAUCCACUAUGGUGAAAGGGCCGGAGCUAGUAGAGAUGCUGUCAUUGCUGAACCAAAAUCAAAGAACUAUGGACAACCCCGAUAUGCAAAUUAAUAAGGGACAUUUAUUCUCUAAGGUGGGUUUGGAGAUCGGUAAUCCCUACAAAUGUGGUGAAAAAGUAUUUAUAUGCAGCACCAAAACUACCGUCGUCACCGGGAAUGUCUUGUAUGUUGGGUUACGUUGCGGUGACAACAGAUGAAGGAAGCAAAGUGUUGGGGAGGAGGGACGUUCUCAUUUCGUUUAAGAGGAUCGGUACUGGGACAUGAGAAGCUUGAUAAUCCUCCAGUACACCUUGGUUGGUAUACCUAUUACACUAAUGUUGACCCUCAAUCCCCACACAACAAAACUAGCUGCAGAGAUCAGGUGGAACUAGCGAGAAGUUUUUUAAGCAUGAAUUGUCUUUAGAUCUGGAAGUGACAGUCCUUUAGAUCAAAUCAUAAAUGAACGACCCACUACCACGGAAGAUGCAUCAACAGAGGACUAAACAACUGACGAGACAUCAGAAGAACUAAUGUAAAAUAGUUCCAGUUAACCACUCACAGUUUUUGUUCGAAUUAACCACUUUUGUUAUUUGUAAAGAACAGCUUUGGUUAGAAUAACCAUUUUGAAAAAUGUAAAUACACAAGUUUGGUUAAAACACUAGCUUGGUUUAAACAUUAACUUUUAAAUGUAUACAUACACAA